rnacentral:tRNA from 1 species
GAGAGAUGGCAGAGUGGUCGAAUGCGGCGGUCUUGAAAACCGUUGAGGCUAACUACCUCCAGGGGUUCGAAUCCCUUUCUCUCC